rnacentral:lncRNA from 1 species
GUGGGAAUUUUUAUGAUAAUCAUUUACGUCUUAAAUAUAUCUUUUAAGGCCUUAUUCAGUCUAAGAAAAAAAUUUGUUUUUGGUAACUGUAGCAUUUUCCGUUUGUAUUUAAUAAAUUUUAUCCAAUCAUGGACUAACUAGGUUCAAAAGAUUUGUCUCGUAAAUUACAGGCAAACUAUAAAAUUAGAUUUUUGUUUUCAUCUAUGUUUAGUGCUUCAUGUAUGCGUCCAAAGAUUCGAU